rnacentral:lncRNA from 1 species
AGAUCUUUUUUAUAUAGUUCUAUAUAGUCAGCAAAAAUAAGACCAGGAGCUGACUGUGGCUCAGAUCAUGAACUCCUUAUUGCCAGAUUCAAACUUAAAUUGAAGAAAGUAGGGAUUAAAGAGUGACAGAAAAAUCAGUCAGAUGUCUUGCCUGAGAGGCAGCUGGUGAAGGGAGAAGCAUGAGAUGGUGCUCAGAGUACAUCCCUGAGGGCUUCUAUUCCUUCCCAUGGCCAAAGCAGGAAGGGCACAGACCAUCCAGCCUAGAGGAUCUGAGAGUCACUGUAGUAGACAAUGCACUGAUGCUCUGGGCUCUGACCAGUUUGACUUCAAGUCAUCUUUCCAAUGC